rnacentral:rRNA from 1 species
AAGAGACAGCAGUAGCCACGGUAAUACGUAGGUGGCAAGCGUUGUCCGGAAUUAUUGGGCGUAAAGGGCUCGCAGGCGGUUUCUUAAGUCUGAUGUGAAAGCCCCCAGCUCAACCGGGGAGGGUCAUUGGAAACUGGGAAACUUGAGUGCAGAAGAGGAGAGUGGAAUUCCACGUGUAGCGGUGAAAUGCGUAGAGAUGUGGAGGAACACCAGUGGCGAAGGCGACUCUCUGGUCUGUAACUGACGCUGAGGAGCGAAAGCGUGGGGAGCGAACAGGAUUAGAUACCCGGGUAGUCCCUGUCUCUUAUAC